rnacentral:rRNA from 1 species
UACGGAGGGUGCGAGCGUUGUCCGGAAUCACUGGGCGUAAAGGGCGCGUAGGUGGCGCCGCAAGUCAACGGUGAAAGCUCGACGCUUAACGUCGAGUCGGCCGUCGAGACUGCGGGGCUCGAGCACUGUAGAGGCUCAUGGAAUUCCGGGUGUAGCGGUGGAAUGCGUAGAGAUCCGGAAGAACACCGGUGGCGAAGGCGGUGAGCUGGGCAGUUGCUGACACUGAGGCGCGGACAGCGUGGGGAGCAAACAGG